CACAUGCAAGUCGAGCGGAUGAAGGGAGCUUGCUCCUGGAUUCAGCGGCGGACGGGUGAGUAAUGCCUAGGAAUCUGCCUGGUAGUGGGGGAUAACGUCCGGAAACGGGCGCUAAUACCGCAUACGUCCUGAGGGAGAAAGUGGGGGAUCUUCGGACCUCACGCUAUCAGAUGAGCCUAGGUCGGAUUAGCUAGUUGGUGGGGUAAAGGCCUACCAAGGCGACGAUCCGUAACUGGUCUGAGAGGAUGAUCAGUCACACU
rnacentral:rRNA from 1 species